rnacentral:tRNA from 1 species
GGGUGCUUAGCUCAGUUGGUAGAGCGGCGCCCUUACAAGGCGUAGGUCAGCGGUUCGAACCCGUUAGCACCCACCA